rnacentral:lncRNA from 1 species
AUUAUCAGUACAUAAUAAUUUUAUCCAAUAUUUUACCAUUCUGUAUUCUCUCUCUAUACACAUAGGUAUUCUACCCAGUUCACAAUAAACCAUGUUAUUAACAGUACUCUUUUUUACUUUCAGUAUACGUUUCAAAAAAUACAGAUGAACCCUUUCAAUAUCUGGUGACUUAUGAAACCCCCAAAUUUCACAGCCAUAGUUCAAAAUACUUGCAACAUAAGUUUCAAAUAAAGUCA